rnacentral:rRNA from 1 species
AGAGUUUGAUCAUGGCUCAGAUUGAACGCUGGCGGCAUGCCUUACACGUGCAAGUCGAACGGUAACGGGCCUUCGGGUGCCGACGAGUGGCGAACGGGUGAGUAAUGCAUCGGAACGUACCUUUCAGUGGGGGAUAACGUAGCGAAAGUUACGCUAAUACCGCAUAUUCUGUGAGCAGGAAAGCAGGGGAUCGCAAGACCUUGCGCUGAUUGAGCGGCCGAUGUCAGAUUAGCUAGUUGGUGAGGUAAAGGCUCACCAAGGCGACGAUCUGUAGCGGGGUCUGAGAGGAUGAUCCGCCACACUGGAACUGAGACACGGUCCAGACUCCUACGGGAGGCAGCAGUGGGGAAUUUUGGACAAUGGGGGCAACCCUGAUCCAGCCAUGCCGCGUGAGUGAAGAAGGCCUUCGGGUUGUAAAGCUCUUUCGGCCGGGAAGAAAUCGCAUGGGUUAAUACCCUGUGCGGAUGACGGUACCGGCAUAAGAAGCACCGGCUAACUACGUG